rnacentral:rRNA from 1 species
UGGGGAAUAUUGCACAAUGGGGGAAACCCUGAUGCAGCGACGCCGCGUGAGCGAAGCAGGUUUUCGAAUCGUAAAGCUCUGUCCUAUGAGAAGAUAAUGACGGUAUCAUAGGAGGAAGCCCCGGCUAAAUACGUGCCAGCAGCCGCGGUAAUACGUAUGGGGCGAGCGUUGUCCGGAAUUAUUGGGCGUAAAGGGUACGUAGGCGGUCUAUUAAGUCAGGUGUGAAAGCGUGAGGCUUAACCUCAUUAAGCACUUGAAACUGAUAGACUUGAGUGAAGGAGAGGAAAGUGGAAUUCCUAGUGUAGCGAUGAAAUGCGUAGAUAUUAGGAGGAAUACCGGUGGAGAAGGCGACUUUCUGGACUUUUACUGACGCUCAGGUACGAAAGCGUGGGGAGCAAACAAG